UCUUCAUCCAGCUUCUGCUUCAUUUCACUCAACCUUUCUUCUUCUUUCUUCCGAAGGCUGAAAUCUCUUUGGACCACCUGAAGUACAUGUUCUGCUUCCUCCUCAGUCAAGC